rnacentral:rRNA from 1 species
CCUAUAAGACUGGGAUAACUUCGGGAAACCGGGGCUAAUGCCGGAUAAUAUUUAGAACCGCAUGGUUCUAAAGUGAAAGAUGGUUUUACUAUCACUUAUAGAUGGACCCGCGCCGUAUUAGCUAGUUGGUGGGGUAAUGGCUUACCAAGGCAACGAUACGUAGCCGACCUGAGAGGGUGAUCGGCCACACCGGAACUGAGACACGGUCCAGACUCCUACGGGAGGCAGCAGUAGGGAAUCUUCCGCAAUGGGCGAAAGCCUGACGGAGCAACGCCGCGUGAGUGAUGAAGGUCUUCGGAUCGUAAAACUCUGUUAUUAGGGAAGAACAAAUGUGUAAGUAACUGUGCACGUCUUGACGGUACCUAAUCAGAAAGCCACGGCUAACUACGUGCCAGCAGCCGCGGUAAUACGUAGGUGGCAAGCGUUAUCCGGAAUUAUUGGGCGUAAAGCGCGCGUAGGCGGUUUCUUAAGUCUGAUGUGAAAGCCCACGGCUCAACCGUGGAGGGUCAUUGGAAACUGGGAAACUUGAGUGCAGAAGAGGAAAGUGGAAUUCCAUGUGUAGCGGUGAAAUGCGCAGAGAUAUGGAGGAACACCAGUGGCGAAGGCGACUUUCUGGUCUGUAACUGACGCUGAUGUGCGAAAGCGUGGGGAUCAAACAGGAUUAGAUACCCUGGUAGUCCACGCCGUAAACGAUGAGUGCUAAGUGUUAGGGGGUUUCCGCCCCUUAGUGCUGCAGCUAACGCAUUAAGCACUCCGCCUGGGGAGUACGACCGCAAGGUUGAAACUCAAA